UGUUAGACUAACGAUAAGCAAGUAGAUCUCUGUAUGUGUGUGUACAUAAAUACAUACAUAUAUAUGUGUGUGUGCAUAUAUACAUACAUAUAUAUAUAUAAAAAAUCAGAAUAGGAUGAAUUGGUAUGCGGAUGUUCAUGGGGUCAUUUUUUGCUAUUCCUUACAGGUCAAGCAUGGAACUCUUUAGGAAGAAAAUUAAUGCAUCCUUGGACUCCUGAAGGAAGAGCCUUCCUGAUGGGACCAUUUUCAAGGGAUUUUGUAUGCUUGAUGGAGAUGGAAAAAGAUGAAAACCAAGCUGGUUUCCUGAAGAAAGGUGAAGAAGAUAAAUAUUUAGUGGAACUUCAUUACUUUGGAACCAUUGGAACCGUGUUUUGAGUACUCCUAGACAUCUUUCCUAAAUAUUCUCUAUAUCAGCAGAGCGAUAUGACUGAAAAUUUGUUUCAUCAGACAAUGUUUGCUGGAAGAAGCCAGCUCUGAAUAUAACACUUUGCAUUGUUUUGGUUUAUGAGAAAAAGCUAUAGACUUCUACGUGUUAUUUAUUAACUCUGCAUCUCAGUUGAGCUAAAGCAAUCUAGUCUUUGAAGUGAACAGAAACAGAGCCCU
rnacentral:lncRNA from 1 species